AGAUGUUAGUUGAUCUUGUCAAGUACUUAAUUUUUUUAGGGAUGGCAACAAUUACUAAAAUCAAUACUCGAGUACUCGGUCAUUUAGAGUAUUCGGUUACUGGGAUGAUUUCCAAUGAUCUUUAAAUUUUUAUCACACAAUAUCAACACCGUCUGCAUGCUACCUUCAUUUUCUAUUUUAAUUCAUAGAAUUUGUAGCUAUAAAUAGGAUUGCAAGAAAUACAUAUAAUAAAUAUAAGCAUAAGAAAUGUCAAUGACAGCAUUUAUUAUAUACCUAUAAAUUUUCUUCCUAAAACACAGGAUUAUCUUGAAGCGCAAAUAGUUUUCAACGGUUAGAAAAUUCUGUAUUAUGUUAGAGACAAAUACAGUACCAUAUAUGAAAGGCCUGGACUAUUUUUAUGCUCCCCAAAAAAUUUCGGGUGAGCAUAUAGUCGCCGCCUUGUCCGUCCGUCCGUCCGUCCAUCCCCUUUUCUUGUCCGGGACUUAACUUUGAAACAACAACAGGUAUUAACAUGAAACUUUGUAGGUAGAUAGAUCUCAUUGAGUAGGUGUGCAGUGCACAAGAACCUUAACUCUGCCUUGCUUAAUUUUUGAAUUAUUCCCCUUUGUUUAUUUUACACUUUGAACUUUGUCCGGGACAUAACUCUAAAACUAUAAGAGGUAUCAACAUGAAACUUUGUAGGUAGAUAGAUCUAAUUGAGUAGGUGUGCAGUGCACAAGAACCGUAACUCUGCCUUGUCUAAUUUUUGAAUUAUUCCCCUUUGUUUAUUUUUACACUUUGAACUUUGUCCGGGACAUAACUCUAAAACUAUAAGAGGUAUCAACAUGAAACUUUGUAGGUAGAUAGAUCUCAUUGACUUGGUAUGCAGUGUACAAGAACCGUAACUCUGCCUUGCCUAAUUUUUGAAUAAUCCCCUUUGUUUAUUUUACACUUUGAAAUUUGUCCGGGACAUAACCUUUAAACUAUAAGAGGUAUCAACAUGAAACUUUGUAGGUAGAUAGAUCUCAUUGACUUGGUAUGCAGUGCACAAGAACCGUAACUCUGCCUUGCCUAAUUUUUGAAUUAUCCCCCUUUCUUUAUUUUACACUUUGAACUUUGUCUCUAAAACUAUAACAGGUAUCAACAUGAAACUUUGUAGGUAGAUAGAUUUCAUUGAGUUGGUAAGCAGUGCACAAGAACCUUAACUCUCCCUUGCCUAAUUUUUUGAAUUAUCCCCCUUUGUUUAUUUUUACACUUUGAACUUUGUCCGAGACAUAACUCUCAAUGUAAAAGAGAUAUCAACAUGAAACUUUGUAGGUAGAUAGAUAUCGUUGAGUAAGUUUGCAGUGCACAAGAACUGUAACACUGUCUUGGCUACUUUUGGAGUUAUUGCCCUUUGAUCAUUUUGACACUUUGAACUUUGUCCGGGACAUUACUCUAAGCAGUGCUUAAGAAUUAUUACUCUGCCUUGCCUUAUUUUGAAGUAAUUGCCCUUUGUUUAUUUUUACUUUUUGACUUUUGUACGAGACAUAACUUUAAAACUAUUAGAGAUAUCAACAUGAAACUUUGUAGGUAGCUAGAUAUAAUUGGAUAGAACUGCAAUGCUUAAAGAACCUAAAGAAAGCCUGGUCUAAUUUUGGAGUUAUUACCCUAAUUUCAUUUUUACACUUUGAAUUUUACCUUGGACAUAACUCUGAUAUCAUCAGGCAACUUUAUAUAGAUGGAUAGAUCUAAUUGAAUAGAAGUGCAGUGCAAAAAAAAACAUAACUCCGCUUUGCCUAAUUUUGGGGUUUUUGCCCUUUGUUCAUUUUUUUUAUACUUUCCAGUGUCCAGAACCUUCUCGGGGAGCAUCACCCGGUUCAACCGGUUCUUGUUAAUGUUGGUUCUGAUCUUAGCUGUGUAUAACAUAGUAUAUGGAAACGGCAACCAAAAUAAUAAAAGGUGUGGCUGGUUUUGCACAAAUUACGUAUUCAUCUGUCAGUCAUAAUUUAUUUCUUGACAGCUACAUUUCUUUUUCUGAAAAUUUCUUAUAUAAGUGUAGUAUAAUGAAAAUCAUUUAUACUUCAAACGAAAAGGUAUAUUAUUAAAGGAAAAUUAUGUUGUAGUAGCUUUCUGAGGCUAUGCAUUUUUCUACUUGCAAUGUUGGAAAAUUGUUAUCUAGCUCGCCCUUUAGUCUCGCAAGAUAUCAAUUUCCCACCGCUGCUCAUAGCAAAAUAAAAAGCCUCAGAGAGCUACUACAACAUAAUAUUCUGUAUAUAUAUUUUUUUAUAAUUAACAAGUUUGGGCUAUCCUUGAACUUUUUUUUUAUUUAAUCAAGUUUGAUUUUUUUAAAAUAUAUUUUAUAUGAAUGCAUGCAGCUUUGAAAUAGAUUUUACUUAUGUAUAUUUGGCAGCAAUUUCACAUGUAGCUCUUCGAAAAAAAAUCACUUGAGCAAAAAAAAUUUUAUAGGCAUAAAGUGAUACCCGUUCUGUCAUCAUCAGUUUUUGGUUUUUAGCUCACCUGAGCUUGCUCAGGGUGAGCUUUAAGGAUCGGUGAAUGUCCGUCGUCCGUCCACAAUUGCUUGUGAACACUCUAGCGGUCGCAUUUUUGCCUCAAUCAUCAUCAAACUUGGUCAGGAUGCUUAUCUAGUUGAAAGCAUGGAUGAGUUCGAUCAUGAGUCAUCUCGGAUGAAAGACUAGGUCACAAGAGCUAAAAAAAGAAAAACCUUGUGAACACUGUAGAGGUCACAUUUUUGACCCAAUCAUCAUUAAACUUGGUCAAGAUGUUUGCCUAGGUGAUAGCUCGGAUGAGUUCGAACAUGGGUCAUCUCUGAUGAAAAAGUAGGUCACAGGAGCUAUAAAUAGAAACACCUUGUGAACACUCUAGUGGUCACAUUUUUAAACCAAUCAUCAUCAAACUUGGUCAGAAUGCUUGUCUAGUCAAUUGCUUGGAUGAGUUUGAACAUGGGUCAUCUCUGGUGAAAAACUAGGUCACAGGAGCUAAAAAUAGAAAAACCUUGUGAACACUCUAGUGGUCACAUUUUUGACCCAAUCAUCAUCACACUUUGUCAGGAUGCUUAUCUGGUUGAUAGCUCGGAUGAGUUCGAACAUGGGUCAUUUCGGAUGUAAAACUAGGUCACCGGAGCUAUAAAUAGAAAAACCUUGUUAACACUCUAGCAGUCACAUUUUUGCAUCAAUCAUCAUCAAACUUGGUCAGGAUGCUUAUCUAGUUGAUAUCUUGGAUGAGUUUGAACAUGGGUCAUCUCAGAUGAAAAAGUAGGUCACCGGAGCUAAAAAUAGAAAAACAUUGUUAACAAUUUAGCGGUCACAUUUUUGCAUCAAUCAUCAUCAAACUUGGUCAAGAUGCUUGUCUAUGUGAUAGCUCGGAUGAGUACAAACAUGGGUCAUCUCGGAUGAAAAAGUAGGUCACCGGAGCUAAAAAUAGAAAAACCUUGUUAACACUCUAGCAGUCACAUUUUUGCAUCAGUCAUCAUCAAACAGGGCUGCCGAUUUUCCGCGGAUCCGCGGAAAUCCGCGGAUUUCGUGAGCUCCUGGGUCAUUUUUGAGAUCGAUGUAAAUUCGACAAAGACAAUAAAUUCAUUCGUCAUAUUUUAUACAGUACCCAGAAACCGGCACGCUUCGGCUUUUAUCGUUACGCUAGCUGCCUAUGGUACGUCUGUAAGCGCUUUUCUCAUUGGUCAUAUCGAGUCUUUUCCGGCAUUCUAUUUUAGAAUAACCAAUCAAAUUACAGUUUACAUUGUCGCUCUUGUCUGUUGUCAAAAUGCGUCAAAAUGUCGGAUAUUUGUCAAAUUUAGAGUCCUGGAAAUUGAUUUUAGGGCAUACCAAAUCAUCAGAACCCAGGAGCUUUCGGGGGCUUCGCCCCCUGAACCCCCACCAGGGCUCUGCCCUGGACCUGCAAAGGGGGCUUACGCAGCCCCCUUGACCCCCGGCGUAUUUUCCGCUGAUUUUGAAAUUUGCUGUUGGCAGCCCUGAUCAAACUUUUGUCAAGAUGUUUGUCUAGUUGAUAGCUCGGAUGAGUUUGAACAUGGGUCAUCUUGGAUGAAAAAGUAGGUCACCUGGGGUAGAAAUAGAAAAACCUUGUUAACACUCUUGUGGUCACAUUUUUGCAUCAAUCAUCAUCAAACUUGAUUAAGAUGCUUGUCUAGGUGAUAGCUCGGAUGAGUUCGGAAAUGGGUCAUCUCGGAUGAAAAACUAGGUCACAGGAGCUAAAAAUAGAAAAACCUUGUUAACACUCUAGUGGUCACAAUUUUGACUCAAUUGUUAGCAAACUUGGUCAGGAAACUUGCCUAGGUCAUUGCUGGGAAUAAAUCGAACAUGGGACAUCUCGGAUGAAAAACUAGGUCACAGGAGAUAAAAAUAGAAAAAUCUUGUUAACACUCUAGUGGCUACUGUUGUGAUCCAAAUAUUCUGUUAAUUGGUCUAAAAGUUUGUUUUGAUGAUUUCUAAGUCAAGAUCCAACAUGGGUCAUCUUGGAUGAAAAACUAGGUCACACUGCCCAAAUAUGGAAAAGCCUUGUUAACAUUCUACUGGUCACAUUUUCGACUCAAUUAUCAUCAAACUUGGUCAGGAUGCUUAUCUAGGUAAUUGCUUGGAUGAGUUCGAAAUCGCAUGUGAAACUAGGUCACCGGAGCUAAAAAUAGAAAAAUCUUGUUAACACUCUUGUUGCUACUGUUUUGAUCCAAGUAUCCUGGAAAUUGGUCUGACAGUUUGUUUUGAUGAUUUCUAGGUCAAGUUUGAAUAUGUGUCACCUGAGUAAAAAACAAGGUCGCACUGCUCAAAUAUGGAUAAUCCUUGUUAACACUGUAGUGGUCACAUUUUUGACUCACCUGUCAUGAGACUUGGUCAGAAUGUUUGUCUAGGUAAUUGUUUGGACGAGUUUGAUAAGUCAGGUGAGCGAUCUAGGGCUAUCAUGGCCCUCUUGUUUUGUAUGGUUUUAUUUAAGAAAUAUUUUGUUCCAGUUAUUUACAGAUGUUUGUAUGAUUAUUGGAUUAAAGUUAAAGUACA